rnacentral:rRNA from 1 species
CUACGGGAGGCACCAGUAGGGAAUAUUGCACAAUGGGCGAAAGCCUGAUGCAGCGACGCCGCGUGGAGGAUGACGGUCUUCGGAUUGUAAACUCCUGUUAAGUGGGAAGAAAGACUCAUAAGCAAUAUGUAUGAGGGAUGACGGUACCACUAGAGAAAGCUCCGGCGAACUUCGUGCCAGCAGCCGCGGUAAUACGAAGGGAGCAAGCGUUAUUCGGAAUUACUGGGCGUAAAGAGCGCGUAGGUGGUUAAUUAAGUUAGCUGUUAAAUCCCCUGGCUUAACUAGGGAUAGGCGGUUGAUACUGAUUGACUAGAGGGCAAGAGAGAGAAGUGGAAUUCUCGGAGUAGCGGUAAAAUGCAUAGAUCUCGAGAGGAACACCGGUUGCGAAGGCGGCUUCUUGGCUUGUUUCUGACACUAAAGCGCGAAAGCGUGGGGAGCAAACAGGAUUAGAUACCCUCGUAGUC